CUACCUGGACUCCUCGACUCCUCUGCACAAGUGCCAGGACGGGACCGUGGAGGCGGGCUUCUGCAUCCGCGCCG
rnacentral:tRNA from 1 species